CACACACACAGUCAGACACAUACACAGACACACACAGUCACACACACACACACACAGACACACACACACAGUCAGACACAAACACACACACAAACACACACACACACAGUCAGACACACACACACACAUACACACACACACACACACACACACAGUCAGACACACACACACACACACAUACACACAGUCAGACACACACACACACACAUACACACACAGUCAGACACAAACACACACAGUCACAUACACACACAGUCAGACACAUACACAGACACAAACACAGUCACACACACACUCACAAACACACACACACAUUAACUUUUUUUAAAUUUAAAUCCCCCCCCAACCUCCUUACCUUUGGGAGUGCUGGGGGGGUGGGGUCUCUCUCCCUGGUGGUCCAGUGGCUGCAGGGCGGGCGGCGCUGGCAGGCGG